rnacentral:lncRNA from 1 species
UGCCAUAUCUUCCUGUGUCUCUUCGUCUGUGCAUCACGCUACUUGUCGUUUCGUUCCAAAUGCAGUGUGUGUUUGCCAAGUGCUUGUGAUUCAGGUUACUUUUAUGUGUUAUGCUUCAGCUACAAGGGACGACCGUUGCCGUGCCAAUGGUGUUUUCAGGUGUUCAUACCACCACAGAUCCAAUACGGAAGUCACAGUUACCAACAAAAAGUGCAAGAGCAGAGCCUGCAUGGUAUCCAUCUAUGAGGAAAUCAUGCAGUACCGCCAAAGAAGUUGACAUGUUAUUAGAAGGUAGAAUCGUGAAGGAUAUUCCUGUCCGAGUUUCAACAUGUAAAAUAAUUGCAAGUUAAAUUGGCGAACGAAGGUCUUGGCCUAUAGGGAUUUCGGGGGAAAGCAUCGAUGUUCUGGCUCAAAUCGUACUGUGUAUUGUCUGCGUGACCCAGCUUUUGGCUGCACACUGAGCGGUUGUUUCUGCAACUGUUCGGACAUGAAACAAGCGUCAAGAUUCUUCAAAAUGUUGAGAU